GCCCCUAUCGUCUAGCGGUUCAGGACAUCUCUCUUUCAAGGAGGCA
rnacentral:tRNA from 8 species